ensembl:piRNA 21ur-677 ncRNA
UGUUUUCGAAUUGAUCCUGCG